AUACGUAGGGGGCGAGCGUUGUCCGGAAUGAUUGGGCGUAAAGGGCGCGUAGGCGGCCCGAUAAGUCUGGAGUGAAAGUCCUGUUUUUAAGAUGGGAAUUGCUUUGGAUACUGUCGGGCUUGAGUGCAGGAGAGGUAAGUGGAAUUCCCAGUGUAGCGGUGAAAUGCGUAGAGAUUGGGAGGAACACCAGUGGCGAAGGCGACUUACUGGACUGUAACUGACGCUGAGGCGCGAAAGUGUGGGGAGCAAACAGGAUUAGAUACCCUGGUAGUCCACACUGUAAACGAUGAAUGCUAGGUGUAGGGGGUAUCGACCCCUUCUGUGCCGCAGUCAACACAAUAAGCAUUCCGCCUGGGGAGUACGGCCGCAAGGUUGAAACUCAAAGGAAUUGACGGGG
rnacentral:rRNA from 1 species